GCUCUGGUUGCCUAAUGGUCAGAGCAUCUGCCUCAAAUGCAGGAAGUCGCGGGUUCAAACACCGACAAAGACAUACCAAAGACU